UACGUAGGGUGCGAGCGUUGUCCGGAAUUAUUGGGCGUAAAGAGCUUGUAGGCGGUUUGUCGCGUCUGCCGUGAAAAUUCGAGGCUCAACCUCGAACUUGCGGUGGGUACGGGCAGACUAGAGUGUGGUAGGGGAGACUGGAAUUCCUGGUGUAGCGGUGAAAUGCGCAGAUAUCGGGAGGAACACCGGUGGCGAAGGCGGUUCUCUGGGCCUGUGCUGACGCUGAGGAGCGAAAGCGUGGGGAGCGAACAGG
rnacentral:rRNA from 1 species